rnacentral:lncRNA from 1 species
AUGAAACCCGAGACGGCCAGAAACAGUGUAGAGUACAUAGUGGGCGAAGAUGAUAAAGACAUUGCCAUGGGAAGUGGCUGUGGUAAGGAAGAGGAUUCAUUAAGCUCUGAGUCCGAUGAUGACGAUAGAACAAUCUCCAAACUUACAAACUUGUCUCCGGAUGAUCCGGAAUCCGAUGGUGGCUCAAACUCAAGUUCAACUGAUUGUUCCAGUGAAACUUCAUAUAAUCUGCACUCUAAAGAAACUGUGGCACCCCCUCCUAGUGGUAAUAGUGCAAUAUGUGGUGCGUGUGGUAGAGGGCCCUUUAGGUCAAUGAAGCUCCAUUUGCUGCACUGUAGUGGUGUAAGAGUAAAAUAUCAGUGUUCACUGUGCAAGAAGCUCUUUCUAACUGAGAAUGCUCUCAGUGAGCACUACAUGCCUUUGUAUUCCUGUGAUGUCUGUGGCCAGGUUUUCUCCAACGAGAGCUCGUACCAUCACCACCAGUGUCCCAAGGGAAGCAAAUCACCACUGGUCCUCUUUUGCUCAGAGACAAUGCCUAAAGCGUGCAACAUAUGCAAAUCCUUUUUUACUUCUGAUAAAACUCUGCUAAAUCAUGUCACCAGAGAGCACGCGUCAGUGGUCAGCACCAAAAUAUGUAUUAUCACCAAUCCAUCAGCGUUGACCGAUCAGAAUGCUUCACCGUGUGUAAGUGGCACAGAUGACCGGUCAGCCGACUGCCGCAGUCCACAUGUAGUCAACCAGGUCACUAAUGGAAAGCUCCAUGUUGUGAAAUCUACUCCUGCCUCUCUCUCGACCUACUCCUUCGGCCCGGGCAGACUUCCUGCCCCGUUGUGCAUUGCGUCUGCUGCGGCACCUGUCGGACUGGGGAAAGACGGUGCCCAAAGUGAGCUGAGCCACCAUCCUCCAAGCCGUCUUUCUGCACCUUUAUUUGUUACCCCUGGUGCGACUGACACAACUCCUGCCACCGCGGCCCCUGACACCGUCUGCCCACCACUGCCCACCGUUAUCGCCAUGUUUGAGAACGAUAGCCAAGAUGUGGCUUUGACGAAACGUAUGAACACAGGCUGGCGUGCCAAGGUCCCUUACACCUGCAGGCAGUGCGGUGCCAUUUUGCGGCAGCCCUCCUUCAUCAUCAGCCACCGCUACCUCCACCGAGGCCACCGCUCCCACCGGUGCCAGUGUGGCCGAGCUUUUAAGCACCGGCUGCACCUGUUAAGACAUUGUGUUCAGCAUGCCGAGGCCAUAAGCUAUAUCUGCGUCAGCUGCGGGGAGACUUUCAUAGGAGCGAGACUCUUAGCUGAGCACAUGAAGACCAAGUCACAGAAAAAGUCCCCUCACUGUGGACGUACAAGGAGACGUAAAGUUAAAAGAAAGUGCAGGAUGCCCUUCACAUGUGACUGUGGUCAACUGUUUUUAAGGCCCUCUGCUUUCAUAUGGCACCAACUUCAAAACUGGACAAAAACUAAACAAUUGAAGAAGCGCUCGAACUGA